AACGAACGCUGGCGGCAGGCCUAACACAUGCAAGUCGAGCGGACCCGUCGGGGUUAGCGGCGGAGGGGGGAGUAACGCGUGGGAAUAUGCCCUUCUCUACGGAAUAGUCCUGGGAAACUGGGGGUAAUACCGUAUACGCCCUUUGGGGGAAAGAUUUAUCGGGGAAGGAUUAGCCCGCGUUGGAUUCGGUAGUUGGUGGGGUAAUGGCCUACCAAGCCGUCGAUCCAUAGCUGGUUGGAGAGGAUGAUCAGCCACACUGGGACUGAGACACGGCCCAGACUCCUACGGGAGGCAGCAGUGGGGAAUCUUAGACAAGGGGGGCAACCCUGAUCUAGCCAUGCCGCGUGAGUGAUGAAGGCCUUAGGGUUGUAAAGCUCUUUCAGCUGGGAAGAUAAUGACGGUACCAGCAGAAGAAGCCCCGGCUAACUCCGUG
rnacentral:rRNA from 1 species